rnacentral:rRNA from 1 species
CAGCAGCCGCGGGAAUACGUAGGGUGCGAGCGUUAAUCGGAAUUACUGGGCGUAAAGCGCGCGUAGGUGGUUUGUUAAGUUGGAUGUGAAAGCCCCGGGCUCAACCUGGGAACUGCAUCCAAAACUGGCAAGCUAGAGUACGGUAGAGGGUGGUGGAAUUUCCUGUGUAGCGGUGAAAUGCGUAGAUAUAGGAAGGAACACCAGUGGCGAAGGCGACCACCUGGACUGAUACUGACACUGAGGUGCGAAAGCGUGGGUAGCAAACAGGAUUAGAUACCCGAGUAGUCCCUGUCUCUUAUAA